rnacentral:rRNA from 1 species
GAUGAACGCUAGCUACAGGCUUAACACAUGCAAGUCGAGGGGAAACGAUAGAGAAAGCUUGCUUUUUCUAGGCGUCGACCGGCGCACGGGUGAGUAACGCGUAUCCAACCUGCCCAUCACUUGGGGAUAACCUUGCGAAAGUAAGACUAAUACCCAAUGACGUCUCUAGAAGACAUCUGAAGGAGAUUAAAGAUUUAUCGGUGAUGGAUGGGGAUGCGUCUGAUUAGCUUGUUGGCGGGGUAACGGCCCACCAAGGCGACGAUCAGUAGGGGUUCUGAGAGGAAGGUCCCCCACAUUGGAACUGAGACACGGUCCAAACUCCUACGGGAGGCAGCAGUGAGGAAUAUUGGUCAAUGGACGAGAGUCUGAACCAGCCAAGUAGCGUGGAGGACGACGGCCCUACGGGUUGUAAACUCCUUUUAUAAGGGGAUAAAGUUGGCCAUGUAUGGCCAUUUGCAGGUACCUUAUGAAUAAGCAUCGGCUAAUUCCGUG